rnacentral:lncRNA from 1 species
GCUCAGUGAUCGUCCUCUUGUGUUAUCAUCUUAUAAAUUCAUCACUGCGAUCCUCCUGCGAUUGUGAAUCCAGCCACUGAUCAUGUCUGUCGUCACAUGGCCCUUUCACUGACCCCUGCUUGGCUAGAAGACGCAGAACCCAUCAAGAAUCACAGCGAUCAUGUCUUCAUUAACGAUAACGGCAAUGACGGGUCCUCUCUUCAAGGUGAUCCUGGUUGGCGAUGCCGGCGUGGGGAAACUUCUCUCUUUUGCUGCAUCCAAGAUGAAGACUACAUCUUCCGUGAAAACCCCACCACAACGGUGGGCGUGGAAAGCUGCAUACAUUCUGUGUCUACGGCUAAAGGAGUUGUCAAUAUGUCGGUGUAUGACACAGCAGGCGUGGAGCGGUUUCGAACCUUGACCUCGGAAUUACUACCGCAACGCCCACGCUGUCCUGCUGGUUUUCAGUCUGGAUGAGCCCGCCUCCCUUUAUGGUCUGUCCAGGUGGGAGAGCGAAGUCAUGGAGUCAGCUCCUGCAGCCGUCAAAUUUCUAGUGGGAAACAAAGCAGAUCUGCAUAAAGCGGUACUUCCUGAAGCAAUACAAGCUUUUGCGCAUGCGCACAACUGUCAGGCGGCAUUUUUGACGUCUGCGAAAACACGAGAGGGUCUGGAUGGGGCUCUGGCUUCGCUGGGAGUGCACCUGAUGGAGAAGUAUGAUCGCCACUCUCAUCGGAAGGACGAAGACAGACUGUGGCGAGAAGGUUCGGGCAUGCACGUGCACGGCGAUGAAAAUCGUGGAAGCAAGUGCUGCUGAUGCUGUCACGUCAGAUGGAUCUAAACCUAGGCGAGCAGAACCUAAUGGCUCUCGACAAUCGCCACGAGUUCCAGGCAGUAGUGACCGACAUCGAUCCUAAGGGACGCAACUUGUGUGAGGCGAGACAUUUUCUGUAGUUAUGUCCCUGUACAAGAGGAUUCCCUGACCUCGCUGGCGUAUUGUCCGUUGUCAUGGCUACGUCAUGACUUGGAAAAUCUGGACAAUGAAAAGACUUCCUGAAGCGAAUAAUCGAAACAAACUGAGGCAUGAAGUAUUAUUUUUUAACUAGUAAAACUAAAGAGAACGGAUUUACAAACCACCCUUGACAAGUGAGUUGUGUAAGAUUCAGUAAAAUGCAGGGUGUAUACCGGA